UACGUAGGUGGCAAGCGUUAUCCGGAUUUAUUGGGUUUAAAGGGUGCGUAGGUUGUUUUUUAAGUCAGCGGUGAAAGUUUGUGGCUCAACCAUAAAAUUGCCGUUGAAACUGGAAGACUUGAGUGUAUUUGAGGUAGGCGGAAUGCGUGGUGUAGCGGUGAAAUGCAUAGAUAUCGCGCAGAACCCCGAUUGCGAAGGCAGCGUACCGGCUCCACACUGACGCUGAGGCACGAAAGCGUGGGUAUCGAACAGG
rnacentral:rRNA from 1 species